GCGAACGCUGGCGGCGUGCCUAAAACAUGCAAGUCGAACGGUGUAAGCAAUUACACAGUGGCGAACGGCGGAGUAAUACAUAAGCAACGUGCCCCGAAGACUGGGAUAGCCAGCCGAAGGCUGAGUAAUCCGGAUGUGGCCCUCUUUUGGCAUCUUAAGAGGAUUAAAUGGUUUUCGCUUCGGGUAGCGGCUUAUGGCCUAUCAGGUAGUUGGUGAGGUAACGGCUCACCAAGCCGACGACGGGUAGCGGGGU
rnacentral:rRNA from 1 species